UGCCGCGUGAGUGAUGAAGGCCCUAGGGUCGUAAAGCUCUUUCGCCUGUGAAGAUAAUGACGGUAGCAGGUAAAGAAACCCCGGCUAACUCCGUGCCAGCAGCCGCGGUAAUACGGAGGGGGUUAGCGUUGUUCGGAAUUACUGGGCGUAAAGCGCACGUAGGCGGAUCGGAAAGUUGGGGGUGAAAUCCCGGGGCUCAACCCCGGAACGGCCUCCAAAACUAUCGGUCUAGAGUUCGAGAGAGGUGAGUGGAAUUCCGAGUGUAGAGGUGAAAUUCGUAGAUAUUCGGAGGAACACCAGUGGCGAAGGCGGCUCACUGGCUCGAUACUGACGCUGAGGUGCGAAAGUGUGGGGAGCAAACAGGAUUAGAUACCCUGGUAGUCCACACCGUAAACGAUGAAUGCCAGUCGUCGGGUAGCAUGCUAUUCGGUGACACACCUAACGGAUUA
rnacentral:rRNA from 1 species